rnacentral:rRNA from 1 species
UACGUAGGACCCAAGCGUUAUCCGGAGUGACUGGGCGUAAAGAGUUGCGUAGGUGGUUAGUAAAGUGAAUAGUGAAAUCUGGCGGCUCAACCGUACAGACUAUUAUUCAAACUCACUAACUCGAGAAUGGUAGAGGUAACUGGAAUUUCUAGUGUAGGAGUGAAAUCCGUAGAUAUUAGAAGGAACACCAAUGGCGUAGGCAGGUUACUGGACCAUUUCUGACACUGAGGCACGAAAGCGUGGGGAGCCGAACCGG